CAGCGCUAAGGGCAAACCUGUCAAAAGACAGGGACGCAAAGCCAUAGGGUCUAAGGUGCACCAGCACUAUGAUAGCCUGGCCACCGCA
rnacentral:ncRNA from 1 species